UUGUUUUAUCGGAAUGUCGGCUACACCACUCUACGGACGCUGUUAUCGAUGUUUAUUUUAUUAUUUUUUUUUAAAUUCCGUUUUCUCUAUUUUUACGAAAGAAAAAUGUGCAAUCGACUCGGCCAAAAGCCCAUCUCCUCUUUUUGAAAACCGGUUGCGUGUGUUGUGUUACGUGUUUCAGCAGCGCAAUGAAAGAAAUGCACAACACGGUGAUUUUCUUAAACCGGUUCGACUUGUUCGCAGAAAAAAUGUCUACAACAAAAAUGCUACACAUUCUGGCGUUACAAUUAAUGUAUGUGUAUGCUGUGCAAAGCAAAGAAUUAUUGACGCAGUUCUCCUCCAUGAAAAACCUGCUGUUUAACGACGAGGUCAAUCGCCAGUCGUACGACAAGUGCAAACAAGUUUUUCUCCUUGCGCGCAAAUCAAGUCGAUUUCCAAAUAGAAAUCACGACGAUCAAUUGCUGAAAAUCGAUGGCAGAAAAUUGAAAGGAAGAGCUCAAAAAUUGUUGUACGCAUGUGACACAUUCACCUGUAAAUUGCGGCAAUCAUUUUUCAUCGAAUUCGGGGCGUGAUUGCCGAACAAUGGCAUCACCACCUCAUGCGCCCGUCAAUCAAACCACCAAAAGAUUGAAUUUACACAAAAUUUCAUCCCAAAAAACAAAGGUUGCGCCACUGAUUGACGCAACCCUCGUGUCCCGCGCGAUUUCUCUUUGACCGCCGACGUUCACCGUGUGAAAAACAAGGACGUGAACAAAAAAACCAGAAAACGGCAACGCGGGACGACCGCGGCAUACGUAAUUGCUUGUUGUAGAUGUGCGUCCAAUAUGAAAAAGAGAGACGCUGUCCGAUCACGCAACUCUUCAUUUUAGUGGGUUCCGUGUAGCUAAUAAUAAUCAACAACAACAACAACUUCCUCCUCCUUUUUUGUUAACUGACUAUUCUCAUCUUGCGAACUAAAAAAGAAAACAAAAACGACUAAACGUCUGUACGUUUACGUCUGUGCGGGAUGUGAAAAUAAACGCAACCUAAAGCUGCACCCAUCUGCAGAUGGGAAAACACGCUACGGCCAUUUGCCCGGGUCACGCACCAAAACAUUUUCAACAGUCCACGUACAAGCGUUUCUCGUUCAUUUUUUUGUGCCCAGUUGAUUCGAACUCCCGAUGUCUGGUGAACUAACCCGACUACAGCACCAAAGUACUUGUCAACUACGUGACCCAAUUUUGUAGUUUUUGUCCUAGAAAAAAAAAAAAAAUAUUUAAAAAGGGAAAAAAAAAAAAAAAAGAAAAACACUUUUGGAAAUCAUUUUGACUAAUGAUGCGAUAUUAUUGUAGUGACGCAAUUCAUUCCUGUUCUUUCCCAAUUUGUUAUUCACGAAAUUCCUGCUCGGGGGUCCUGAAUAAUCAGACCGGUGUUCUCGCCGGCUUCGUGAUUUGGAUGACAAUCGUCACUCUAUCUGGUAGCUAGUGGCGCUUUGUGCAUCACGUGAAACGGGAUUUGAUUCAAUGUGCUUUCGUCCUCCCACUUUUUGCGUUUUUUUUUUCCUUUUUUCUUUUUUCUACACCAACGUGUCCCCUAAGGCUAAAGAAGAAGCAUAGAAACAGCCGGUCACGAAAGACCCACCACGAAUGAUGAAAAGGUCAUCAAACGAGAAACGACAGACAUGACGCUAGUUCAUCACAUCCAACAAAUGACUGACACAAUAAGAAAAAACCUGCGACUUGAGUUGUUAUGACCUCUCGUCUUUCGAAAAACAAACCAGAGCACGUCAUCAUUCAUUCAUCGCCAUUUCUAAUACCAUUAAAAAUUGUUCAAAAAAAAAAAAAUCGAUUGGAAUAACAAUCAAAUGGAAAACCUUCAAUACGAAAACGUUUCCGUCGUUGGCCAGCACGUAUCCAUGGGCCAUACGGCGCAUUUGACGUACACCAUACGGCAACAACUUCCGUCAUUAUCCUUCUCUGUUGGACGUCUCUGUUCUCCACCCCACCGACACAAACUGUUGUUAACAUUUGCACGGCUUCGUCGUCGUCUUCCUCAUUGCCAGACUUGAACGACACACAAUUCUUUUUAAUAGUUUACCCACUCCAUCAGCCCAAUCUAAGGCUUCCCCCCCCCCACACUUUUUUCUUCUUCUACUAUAUUCGAAUGUUAUGGUCUUCGUUUUCUUUACUAGCCGCUUAUUGAACGUAGUACGUCGGCUAUAACCGAUACAUCAAUGUCGAGCCUCUGGCCGAGCAAUCAAUCCACACAUACGCACACUAAAUAAAAAGAAAUGUACGAAACACAAUCAGCCUAUCCACUAUGGGGUAGAGUGAGAACAAGGAUAUUUGUUCAUGAUGCCUUUCUUGUUUUUUUGUUUUUUUUCGGUUGUGAGUUUCGGUAGAGAGUCUUGGUAUCAUGAACAAAAAACUUAUGUAUAGAAUCAGUUGAGCUUGUUAAAAGAUUCAAUCACAAGGCGGAUUGAAGCGGCACCUGAAGCCAUUUUGGACUGACGCGAGGCAAGUAGCAGCCAAUCUACUACACAUCCAGCAGCUGUGUGUGUGUGUGUGUGUGUGUGUCUAUUAUUUUCUUGUGUGUGUAACAGAAAAGGAGUAGUUCUCAAGUAGCCCGAAUCUCAUGAAUCGGAAAUCAAACAACAAGGGCCAACUAAUGAGUUGAAUGGUAUAAUAAUAACAUGAGAAAAAAAUAAAUAAAUAAUCAAAAGCUAUCAGAUUUUUUGAUUUUUUUUUUAGAUAGGAAAUGACGGGAUCAAUGACUUUUACGUGAUUGGAUUUUUUCCCCUUUUAACUUUCUUAACGAACACGAAAAAAUAACAACUAAAUAUGAAGAUUGAAAGCGGAAUUUUUCUGCCCCCCCUCUCUAUUCGUCAAGAGAAGAACUGGUCGAAACACACACACCUGGACAGUUUACCGUUUUGUUCAACUUAUUUACACUUGACUACGUGAUUAAAAUAUUAAAAACAAAAACAAAAACUGUUAAGAUAUCGCCGAUAGGCAAAAUAGUACGAUAGAUGUCGA